GCGAACGGGUGAGUAACACGUGGGCAAUCUGCCCUGCACUCUGGGACAAGCCCUGGAAACGGGGUCUAAUACCGGAUAUGACCACGGUCCGCAUGGACUGUGGUGUAAAGCUCCGGCGGUGCAGGAUGAGCCCGCGGCCUAUCAGCUUGUUGGUGGGGUAAUGGCCUACCAAGGCGACGACGGGUAGCCGGCCUGAGAGGGCGACCGGCCACACUGGGACUGAGACACGGCCCAGACUCCUACGGGAGGCAGCAGUGGGGAAUAUUGCACAAUGGGCGAAAGCCUGAUGCAGCGACGCCGCGUGAGGGAUGACGGCCUUCGGGUUGUAAACCUCUUUCAGCAGGGAAGAAGCGCAAGUGACGGUACCUGCAGAAGAAGCACCGGCUAACUACGUGCCAGCAGCCGCGGUAAUACGUAGGGUGCGAGCGUUGUCCGGAAUUAUUGGGCGUAAAGAGCUCGUAGGCGGCCUGUCGCGUCGGAUGUGAAAGCCCGGGGCUUAACCCCGGGUCUGCAUUCGAUACGGGCAGGCUAGAGUGUGGUAGGGGAGAUCGGAAUUCCUGGUGUAGCGGUGAAAUGCGCAGAUAUCAGGAGGAACACCGGUGGCGAAGGCGGAUCUCUGGGCCAUUACUGACGCUGAGGAGCGAAAGCGUGGGGAGCGAACAGGAUUAGAUACCCUGGUAGUCCA
rnacentral:rRNA from 2 species